rnacentral:rRNA from 1 species
GAUGAACGCUAGCGGCAGGCCUAACACAUGCAAGUCGAGGGGCAGCACAGGAAAGUAGUAAUACUUUUGGGUGGCGACCGGCGGACGGGUGCGUAACGCGUAUACAACCUGCCUUCUACUGGGGGAUAAUUCGGAGAAAUCUGGUCUAAUACCCCAUAACAACCGAUGAGGCAUCUCAAUGGUUUAAAAGCUCCGGCGGCAGAAGAUGGGUAUGCGUGACAUUAGAUAGUUGGUGGGGUAACGGCUCACCAAGUCGACGAUGUCAAGGGGGACUGAGAGGUUAACCCCCCACACUGGUACUGAGACACGGACCAGACUCCUACGGGAGGCAGCAGUGAGGAAUAUUGGUCAAUGGGGGCAACCCUGAACCAGUCAUGCCGCGUGCAGGAAGACGGCUCUAUGAGUUGUAAACUGCUUUUGUACAGGGAUAAAUCGGGAUACGUGUAUUCCGUUGAAGGUACUGUACGAAUAAGGAUCGGCUAACUCCGUGCCAGCAGCCGCCGUAA